rnacentral:rRNA from 1 species
AUGAACGCUGGCGGCGUGCCUAAUACAUGCAAGUCGAACGAGUUCUCGUUGAUGAUCGGUGCUUGCACCGAGAUUCAACAUGGAACGAGUGGCGGACGGGUGAGUAACACGUGGGUAACCUGCCCUUAAGUGGGGGAUAACAUUUGGAAACAGAUGCUAAUACCGCAUAGAUCCAAGAACCGCAUGGUUCUUGGCUGAAAGAUGGCGUAAGCUAUCGCUUUUGGAUGGACCCGCGGCGUAUUAGCUAGUUGGUGAGGUAAUGGCUCACCAAGGCGAUGAUACGUAGCCGAACUGAGAGGUUGAUCGGCCACAUUGGGACUGAGACACGGCCCAAACUCCUACGGGAGGCAGCAGUAGGGAAUCUUCCACAAUGGACGCAAGUCUGAUGGAGCAACGCCGCGUGAGUGAAGAAGGCUUUCGGGUCGUAAAACUCUGUUGUUGGAGAAGAAUGGUCGGCAGAGUAACUGUUGUCGGCGUGACGGUAUCCAACCAGAAAGCCACGGCUAACUACGUGCCAGCAGCCGCGGUAAUACGUAGGUGGCAAGCGUUAUCCGGAUUUAUUGGGCGUAAAGCGAGCGCAGGCGGUUUUUUAAGUCUGAUGUGAAAGCCCUCGGCUUAACCGAGGAAGCGCAUCGGAAACUGGGAAACUUGAGUGCAGAAGAGGACAGUGGAACUCCAUGUGUAGCGGUGAAAUGCGUAGAUAUAUGGAAGAACACCAGUGGCGAAGGCGGCUGUCUGGUCUGUAACUGACGCUGAGGCUCGAAAGCAUGGGUAGCGAACAGGAUUAGAUACCCUGGUAGUCCAUGCCGUAAACGAUGAAUGCUAGGUGUUGGAGGGUUUCCGCCCUUCAGUGCCGCAGCUAACGCAUUAAGCAUCCUCUUG